rnacentral:rRNA from 1 species
GAGUUUGAUCCUGGCUCAGGAUGAAUGCUGGCGGCGUGCUUAACACAUGCAAGUCGAACGAUGAAGCCCAGCUUGCUUGGUGGAUUAGUGGCGAACGGGUGAGUAAUACGUGAGUAACCUGCCUUUAACUCUGGGAUAAGCCUUGGAAACGGGGUCUAAUACCGGAUACGACCAGUUCCCGCAUGGGAUGCUGGUGGAAAGGGAUAUGUACUGGUUUUAGAUGGGCUCACGGCCUAUCAGCUUGUUGGUGAGGUAACGGCUCACCAAGGCGACGACGGGUAGCCGGCCUGAGAGGGUGACCGGCCGCACUGGGACUGAGACACGGCCCAGACUCCUACGGGAGGCAGCAGUGGGGAAUAUUGCACAAUGGGCGCAAGCCUGAUGCAGCGACGCCGCGUGAGGGAUGACGGCCUUCGGGUUGUAAACCUCUUUCAGCAGGGAAGAAGCGAAAGUGACGGUACCUGCAGAAGAAGCGCCGGCUAACUACGUGCCAGCAGCCGCGGUAAUACGUAGGGCGCGAGCGUUGUCCGGAAUUAUUGGGCGUAAAGAGCUUGUAGGCGGUUUGUCGCGUCUGCUGUGAAAGCCCGGGGCUUAACCCCGGGUUUGCAGUGGGUACGGGCAGACUAGAGUGCAGUAGGGGAGACUGGAAUUCCUGGUGUAGCGGUGAAAUGCGUAGA